CUAACACAUGCAAGUCGAGCGGCAGCGAGUGUAGUAGCAAUACUACAUGUCGGCGAGCGGCGGACGGGUGAGUAACGCGUAAGAACCUGCCGUAUAGAUGGGGACAACCAAGGGAAACUUUGGCUAAUACCGAAUAUUCUCGCGAGAGGAAAGGUGCCUAGCAAUAGGUGUCGCUAUACGAGGGGCUUGCGUCCGAUUAGCUAGUUGGUGGGGUAAAAGCCUACCAAGGCGAUGAUCGGUAACUGGUCUGAGAGGACGACCAGUCACACUGGGACUGAGACACGGCCCAGACUCCUACGGGAGGCAGCAGUGGGGAAUAUUGGGCAAUGGGGGCAACCCUGAUCCAGCGAUGCCGCGUGGGUGAAGAAGGCCUUCGGGUUGUAAAGCCCUUUAAGAUGGGAAGAAGAGUGUGAGAGUAAUAUGCUCAUGCCUUGACGGUACCGUCAGAAUAAGCACCGGCAAACUCUGUGCCAGCAGCCGCGGUAA
rnacentral:rRNA from 1 species